GUUAGGAAAAGAUGCACAUCCUCUGCUCUCCUGAACCAAUAAGAGCCAGUUCCAAGACACCAUAACUGAUUGCUAUAUUUUAGGAUUUUUUUCUGAUUAUAAAGAUUUAUAAUUGUUCCACUAUGUCUUUCUUGAGUUGCAACAACCAGCUAUGCACACAACCUUCCAGGUGUGGAUUCACUAUACUUCUAUUAAAAGCUAUAUAAUUACUGGCCUGGAAAAGUCAAAAAGGUGCUGUAAACUGAGUGUAUCUAUUUUCGGCCACAGACAAAGAAGAUUGAAUUAACCACACUCCUCCAUUCCUAGCAUAAGCCUUGUGUCUUGUUUAUUGUUGUUUUAUUUAUUUUCUCUCAUCCCCAUACCUCUCUCCCAAUCUCCUCAACCCCAUAGCACCUAUUUUAAUUAUUUGAAUAUAUAUCUUUUGUGUCUGUGUUCUUUCCAAAUGGAUAUUUGUUUGCACAUAAUUAUGCACACACAUGCACACACACAUAUAUAAAACUCUGUAACUUUCAUUACACAGUAUGUCUGUAAGAUUCAUCCAUGUUGCCAUGCAGAUAGCAUACACCUAAUAUAUUACUUUUAGCUGCUGUUAAAGCAGCAUCAGAUAUUUCCCUAAGAUAUUUGGCAAAAUAUCUCAUGUUAUCUUUAAGAAUAAGAUGGAUAGACUGAAACUGUGGCAGCAGAGUACAGGGAAAUUCAAAGUUGGAAAACAAUAUUAAAAGUGUGUUGCUUUG
rnacentral:lncRNA from 1 species